rnacentral:rRNA from 1 species
AACGAACGCUGGCGGCAUGCCUAACACAUGCAAGUCGAACGAGACCUUCGGGUCUAGUGGCGCACGGGUGCGUAACGCGUGGGAACCUGCCCUUAGGUGCGGAAUAACUCCCCGAAAGGGGUGCUAAUACCGGAUAAUGUCUUCGGACCAAAGAUUUAUCGCCGUUGGAUGGGCCCGCGUUGGAUUAGCUAGUUGGUAGGGUAAAAGCCUACCAAGGCGACGAUCCAUAGCUGUUCUGAGAGGAUGAUCAGCCACACUGGGACUGAGACACGGCCCAGACUCCUACGGGAGGCAGCAGUGGGGAAUAUUGGACAAUGGGCGAAAGCCUGAUCCAGCAAUGCCGCGUGAGUGAUGAAGGCCUUAGGGUUGUAAAGCUCUUUUACCCGGGAUGAUAAUGACAGUACCGGGAGAAUAAGCACCGGCUAACUCCGUG